rnacentral:rRNA from 1 species
AUUGAACGCUGGCGGCAGGCCUAACACAUGCAAGUCGAGCGGAUGAAGGGAGCUUGCUCCUGGAUUCAGCGGCGGACGGGUGAGUAAUGCCUAGGAAUCUGCCUGGUAGUGGGGGAUAACGUCCGGAAACGGGCGCUACUACCGCAUACGUCCUGAUGGAGCUAGUUGGGGAUCUUCGGACCUCACGCUCUCAGAUGAGCCUAGGUCGGAUUGGCUAGUUUGUGGGGUAAAGGGCUACCAAGGCGACGAUCCGUAAUUGGCCUGAGAGAAGGAUAGGCCACACUGGAACUGAGACACGGUCCAGACGACUAAGGGAGGCAGCAGAGGGGAAGAUUGGACAAUGGGCGAAAGCCUGAUCCAGCCAUGCCGCGUGUGUGAAGAAGGUCUUGGGAGUGGAAAGAACGUUAAGGGGGGAGGAAGGGCAGUAAGUUAAUACCUUGCUGUUGUGACGGUACCAACAGAAGAAGCACCGGCUAACUUCGUG